CGCCUCAGUUCGGAUUGUAGUCUGCAACUCGACUACAUGAAGCUGGAAUCGCUAGUAAUCGCGGAUCAGAAUGCCGCGGUGAAUACGUUCCCGGGUCUUGUACACACCGCCCGUCACACCAUGGGAGUCGGGAAUGCCCGAAGCCAGUGACCCAAGCGAAAGCAGGGAGCUGUCGAAGGCAGGCCGGAUAACUGGGGUGAAGUCGUAACAAGGUACC
rnacentral:rRNA from 1 species